ACGCUCGACACCUACGGAGGCAGCAGUGGGGAAUAUUGCACAAUGGGGGAAACCCUGAUGCAGCGACGCCGCGUGAAGGAAGAAGUAUCUCGGUAUGUAAACUUCUAUCAGCAGGGAAGAAAAUGACGGUACCUGACUAAGAAGCCCCGGCUAACUACGUGCCAGCAGCCACGGUAAUCUGAGCGGGCUGGCAAGGC
rnacentral:rRNA from 1 species